rnacentral:rRNA from 1 species
AACCUGGUUGAUCCUGCCAGUAGUCAUACGCUCGUCUCAAAGAUUAAGCCAUGCAUGUCUAAAUAUAAGCGAAUAUACUGUGAAACUGCGGACGGCUCAUUAUAUCAGUUAUAGUUUCUUUGAUAAUGUCUUUUAAUUGGAUAAUUGUAGUAAUUCUAGAGCUAAUACAUGCAUAAACACCUGACUUUUGAAAGGUGGCACUUAUUAGAUUUAAACCAUCUUUUUUUGGUGAAUCAUAGUAAUUUAGCGGACCGCAGAGGCUUUACGCCGGCGGCGAAUCAUUCGAGUUUCUGCCCCAUCAGCUGUCGAUGAUUAUGUAUUGGCUAAUCCUGGCCAUCACGGGUAACGGANAAUUAGGGUUUGAUCCCCGGAGAAGANGCCUGAAAAUACGGCCGCCACAUCCCAAAGAAGGCAGCAGGCGCCUUAAAUUACCUCAUCCACACUCUGCGAAGGUAGUGACGAUAAAUAACAUCGCAGAACACCUUGUGUUUUGGCUUUUGAAAUGAGUGCAUGUACACUCUCAACGAUGAUCAAUUGGGAGGGCNNUCUGGUGCCACCACCGCG